GCCUGACGGAGCAACGCCGCGUGAGGGAGGAAGGCUCUUGGGUUGUAAACCUCUUUUCUCAAGGAAGAUAAUGACGGUACUUGAGGAAUCAGCAUCGGCUAACUCCGUGCCAGCAGCCGCGGUAAUACGGAGGAUGCAAGCGUUAUCCGGAAUAAUUGGGCGUAAAGCGUUCGUAGGUGGUUCUGUAAGUCUGCUGUUAAAGCGUGUAGCUCAACUACAUAUAGGCGGUGGAAACUACAAAACUUGAGUGCGUUCGGGGUAGAGGGAAUUCCUGGUGUAGCGGUGAAAUGCGUAGAGAUCAGGAAGAACACCGGUGGCGAAGGCGCUCUACUAGACCGCAACUGACACUGAGGGACGAAAGCUAGGGGAGCGAAUGGGAUUAGAUACCCCAGUAGUC
rnacentral:rRNA from 1 species